CAAUAGCGUAUAUUUAAGUUGUUGCAGUUAAAAAGCUCGUAGUUGGAUUUUGGGUUAGGGUGUCCGGUCCGCCGUUCCGGUGUGCACUGGGCGCUCUUUCCUUUCUGCCGGGGACCGUUGGGUGUCUUCAUUGCCAUCCCUCGGGAGUCGGCGUUGUUACUUUGAAAAAAUUAGAGUGUUCAAAGCAAGCCAUCGCUCUGAAUACAUUAGCAUGGAAUAACAUGAUAGGACUCCGCUCUUAUUUUGUUGGUUUCCGAGACUGGAGUAAUGAUUAAGAGGGACAGUCGGGGGCAUCCGUAUUUCAUUGUCAGAGGUGAAAUUCUUGGAUUUAUGAAAGACGAACUUCUGCGAAAGCAUUUGCCAAGGAUGUUUUCAUUAAC
rnacentral:rRNA from 1 species